UUACAGCCAAACCACCUUGAAAUACCAGUUCCUGUACAAUCACUGAAGUUAAGCAAAGUUGAGCUUGGUUAGUACGUAGAUGGGUGACUGCUUUGGGAAUAUCAGGUGCUGUAAG